rnacentral:pre_miRNA from 1 species
GGGGGGAGGCCGGAUCCUGGGCUGUGUCUCAGCGCCCUGUGCUCCGGGGCCUGCGCUGUUGGAUUCCUGCUCCCGGCCGCGCAGCCCCCU